AUGCCUAACCGUAAAACCAAUUUACACCACACACGCCAGGGUAUUACGAGCCUAGCUUAAAACCCAAAGGACUUGACGGUGCCCCAUCCGACUAGAGGAGCCUGUCCUAGAAUCGAUAACCCCCGUUUAACCUUACCACUUCUGGCUUGAUUCAGUUAGUAUACUUCCGUCGUAAGCUUACCAUAUGAGUGACCAUAGUAGGCCCAAUUAUUUUCCUCAUAAAUACGUCAGGUCAAGGUGCAGCAUAAGAAGUGGGAUGAGAUGGGCUACAAUUUCUAAUUUAGAACAUACGGAACAUUGCAUGAAACACAAUGGGAAGGUGGAUCUAGCAGUAAAAAGAAAAUAAAGUGCUCUUUUUAAUAACGGCACUGGGACGCGUACAAACCGCCCGUCACCCUCCUCGACAGACUCUAGUAAGUAAAUAACACAAGUUUCAUAAUUAGAGGAGGCAAGUCGUAACAUGGUAAGUGUACCGGAAGGUGCACUUGGACAG
rnacentral:rRNA from 1 species